GGAAUGUCAUAAAUAAAUACUACCUCAUUUUCAUUCCCACACAGGGUAUGUUAUCCAAUCCCAGAAAUGGGGAUCUUCUUUUGCACUUGAUAACCUAACAGGUCCUUGGACAUUGCCUAGUUUUGACACUGAAUGUGUAGUUUGAUGGCAUUUUAUGUCCAAAAUAUGCCAAGAUAUUUAGAUUAAUUUAGCUGAAAUGAUUUGUUCAGAUUCCAAUUUCAGACCAGCUGAAAGAACUUCAUAUUUGUAGGGGGUCUAAUGCAUUGCAAGGUUUAGUGAAUGCAAUGAUGGAGAUGGAUUCUGAUGGAGUUGGAUUCUGUUAUUUGCUCUGCUUUGUUCUUUAAAUAUCUUGAAUGUUUAUGAUGUGCUUUUUAUAUGUGUUUUAGCAAGUCACUAAUUGCAAGAGAGUGAUCAAUGAUAAGAAAUAUCCAUGAUAUUUUUGAUACACAUAUUCCUUGGAAUUUUAACAACUCAGUUGCUUUUGAAUUUAAAACCGGGUUCUUUUAGAUUCGAAGUAAUGUUGAUUAGGCAACAGCUUCUUCAUUAUUUUUAGUUGCAGGCUAAGAGGGUAUUUGGCGUAGCUUAUGAAAUUCAACUUAUAGUGCUUAUAAGCUAAUUUGAGCUUUUAA
rnacentral:misc_RNA from 1 species